rnacentral:rRNA from 1 species
GACGAACGCUGGCGGCGUGCCUAACACAUGCAAGUCGAACGGAGCACUUCGGUGCUUAGUGGCGAACGGGUGAGUAACGCGUGAGAAACCUGCCUUUCAGUGGGGGACAACAGUGGGAAACUACUGCUAAUACCGCAUAAUGUUAUUUGGGGGCAUCCCUGAAUAACCAAAGAUUUAUUGCUGAAAGAUGGUCUCGCGUCUGAUUAGCUAGUUGGUGAGGUAACGGCUCACCAAGGCGACGAUCAGUAGCCGGUCUGAGAGGAUGAACGGCCACAUUGGGACUGAGAUACGGCCCAGACUCCUACGGGAGGCAGCAGUGGGGAAUAUUGGGCAAUGGGCGAAAGCCUGACCCAGCAACGCCGCGUGAAGGAAGAAGGCCUUCGGGUU